rnacentral:tRNA from 1 species
GGGUCAUUGGUCUAUGGGCAUGAUUCUCUCUUUGGGUGAGAGAGGUCCCGGGUUCAAAUCCCGGAUGAGCCC